rnacentral:rRNA from 1 species
CCUACGGGAGGCAGCAGUGGGGAAUAUUGCACAAUGGGGGAAACCCUGAUGCAGCAACGCCGCGUGAGUGAAGAAGUAUUUCGGUAUGUAAAACUCUGUCAGCAGGGAAGAGAAUAACUGUACCUGACUAAGAAGCCCCGGCUAACUACGUGCCAGCAGCCGCGGUAAUACGUAGGGGGCGAGCGUUAUCCGGAGUUACUGGGUGUAAAGGGAGCGUAGACGGUUCUGCAAAUCUGAUGUGAAAGCCCGUGGCUUAACCGCGGAAGGGCAUUGGAAACUGGGGAACUGGAGUGCUGGAGAGGCAAGUGGAAUGCCAAGUGUAGCGGUGAAAUGCGCAGAUAUAAGGAGGAACACCAGUGGCGAAGGCGGCUUGCUGGACAGUAACUGACGUUGAGGUGCGAAAGCGUGGGGAGUAAACAGGAUUAGAUACCCGUGUAGUC